AUUGAACGCUGGCGGCAGGCCUAACACAUGCAAGUCGAACGGUAACAGGAAGAAGCUUGCUUCUUUGCUGACGAGUGGCGGACGGGUGAGUAAUGUCUGUGAAACUUCCUGAUGGAUGGGGAUAACUACUGGAAACGGUAGCUAAUACCGCAUAACGUCGCAAGACCAAAGAUGGGGACCUUCGGGCCUCUUGCCAUCGGAUGUGCCCAGAUGGGAUUAGCUAGUAGGUGGGGUAACGGCUCACCUAGGCGACGAUCCCUAGCUGGUCUGAGAGGAUGACCAGCCACACUGGAACUGAGACACGGUCCAGACUCCUACGGGAGGCAGCAGUGGGGAAUAUUGCACAAUGGGCGAAAGCCUGAUGCAGCCAUGCCGCGUGUAUGAAGAAGGCCUUCGGGUUGUAAAGUACUUUCAGCGGGGAGGAAGGGAGUAAAGUUAAUACAUUUGCUCAUUGACGUUACCCGCAGAAGAAGCACCGGCUAACUCCGUG
rnacentral:rRNA from 1 species